rnacentral:misc_RNA from 1 species
GAUGAAGAACGUAGCGAAAUGCGAUACGUAGUGUGAAUUGCAGAAUUCCGUGAAUCAUCGAAUCUUUGAACGCACAUUGCACCUCUCGGUAUUCCGGGAGGUAUGCCUGUUCGAGCGUCAUUUGUACCCUCAAGCUCUGCUUGGUGUUGGGUGUUUGUUCCGCCUCUGUGUGUGAACUCGCCUCAAAACAAUUGGCAGCCGGCGUACUUGUUUCGGAGCGCAGCACAUUUUGCGAUCCAGAUCAACGUACAGCGGCAUCCAAGAAGCCUUAUUUAACGCUCUUGACCUCGGAUCAGGUAGGGAUACCCGCUGAACUUAAGCAUAUCAAUAAGCGGAGGA